rnacentral:lncRNA from 1 species
AGUCAGUCAGGGAGAAAAUGGAAACACAUUGUGAGAGGAACCUUCUGUGAAAAAAUGCAACUUUGUGACAUGAUCUGCCUGCCUGGCUGUAUAUACCUGAGCAGCAUACAGCUUAUUACUGCAUAAAAGAAACAUAUCAAGAUAAUUCUGAAUCAGAUUGUGUGCUGGAAAAAUGGCCUUACAUCCA